AGAAGGAAAAAAAAGAAACGAAAACGAAACAGAGGAAGGAGGAUGAAAUUGAAGUUGAUUCUGAAACUGGUUUGAGGUUGGGAACUUGAUUUUGGACGAUCGGAAAUUGGAGCAGCGUACCAACCCGAUUCACCUCGUUCAUAGGAUUUGCUGCACCUGAGUUUCAUAGAGAUAGCCGACCAGUUUCUGCCACUCACCGUCUCAGAAUUUGCAUAUCAUUUUGUAUGUUCAUCUAGAAUGACUCAUACUGGAAUAAUUGUACCUUUUGUGGUUGUACAGCAUGUUUAGGAGUCGUGACUGAGUAGUUAUUUUUUAGAUGAAUUAUGUUACACUUUAUGUUUUAUAUGUUGAACAAUAAUCUAAAUUAAUUUUAGAAAUUUAGAAAGAAGUUGACUAUAGACUUGAUAGAUGGUUGAGGGUCUAUGGUCGGCACGAUUUGUCCUAUAGUUAGUAGGUGUUUAGGGCAGGUCGUGUCAGUUGCCUUGGUCUCAUCUCCCAUGAUCGAGCUGAUCCCUUGUGCAGUCGGGAAUAUUGUCGGAGAAGUUGCCUAUAAAUAGAACUCAUUCGCUUUGUUUUGAGGUACGUGAACACUAAAUUCUCUAUCGAGUUUAGUUUGACUAGCUAUUGACUUUAGCAUCGAAUUGUGUUCUAUUUUGUAAAUUUUUUUUUCC